rnacentral:rRNA from 4 species
GUUGCCAGCGGUCCGGCCGGGAACUCAAAGGAGACUGCCAGUGAUAAACUGGAGGAAGGUGGGGAUGACGUCAAGUCAUCAUGGCCCUUACGACCAGGGCUACACACGUGCUACAAUGGCGCAUACAAAGAGAAGCGACCUCGCGAGAGCAAGCGGACCUCAUAAAGUGCGUCGUAGUCCGGAUUGGAGUCUGCAACUCGACUCCAUGAAGUCGGAAUCGCUAGUAAUCGUGGAUCAGAAUGCCACGGUGAAUACGUUCCCGGGCCUUGUACACACCGCCCGUCACACCAUGGGAGUGGGUUGCAAAAGAAGUAGGUAGCUUAACCUUCGGGAGGGCGCUUACCACUUUGUGAUUCAUGACUGGGGUGAAGUCGUAACAAGGUAACCGUAGGGGAACCUGCGGUUGGA